rnacentral:lncRNA from 1 species
CAGCUCCAUCACUCCCUGACAGGCCGCAGUAACGGUCGCAAUGCUGCUCCACUCCCUACGACGGAUCCCACGGGGCUCCAUUACUAUCUGACAGGCUGUAUCAACGGCUAUGAUUCUGCUCCACUCACUGCGGCAGACCCUACGCGACCCCAUUAUUCUCUGACAGGCUGUAUUAACAGCCAUGAUUCUGCUCCACUCCCUGCGUGGGUGCUGCGUGACUCCACUACCUGUAACAGAUUC